rnacentral:rRNA from 1 species
UACGAAGGGGGCUAGCGUUGUUCGGAAUCACUGGGCGUAAAGCGCACGUAGGCGGAUGUGCCAGUCAGGGGUGAAAUCCCGGAGCUCAACUUCGGAACUGCCUCUGAUACAGCACGUCUUGAGUCCGGAAGAGGUGGGUGGAAUUCCUAGUGUAGAGGUGAAAUUCGUAGAUAUUCGGAAGAACACCAGUGGCGAAGGCGGCUCACUGGACUGGUAUUGACGCUGAGGUACGAAAGCGUGGGGAGCAAACAGG